rnacentral:rRNA from 1 species
ACAGGGAUUGCCCUAGUAACGGCGAGUGAAGCGGCAACAGCUCAAAUUUGAAAUCUGGCUUCCUUUGGGGGUCCGAGUUGUAAUUUGCAGAGGGUGCUUUGGCGUCGGCAGCGGUCUAAGUUCCUUGGAACAGGACAUCACAGAGGGUGAGAAUCCCGUACGUGGUCGCCUGCCUUCGCCGUGUAAAGCCCCUUCGACGAGUCGAGUUGUUUGGGAAUGCAGCUCUAAAUGGGAGGUAAAUUUCUUCUAAAGCUAAAUACCGGCCAGAGACCGAUAGCGCACAAGUAGAGUGAUCGAAAGAUGAAAAGCACUUUGGAAAGAGAGUCAAACAGCACGUGAAAUUGUUGAAAGGGAAGCGCUUGCAGCCAGACUUGCUCGCAGUUGCUCAUCCGGGUCCGCCCGGAGCACUCUUCUGCGAGCAGGCCAGCAUCAGUUUGGGCGACCGGAUAAAGGCCUCUGUCAUGUAUCUUCCUUCGGGAUGACCUUAUAGGGGAGGCGUAAUGCGGCCAGCCCGGACUGAGGUCCGCGCAUCUGCUAGGAUGCUGGCGUAAUGGCUGUAAGCGGCCCGUCUUGAAACACGGAUCAAGGAGUCUAACAUCUAUGCGAGUGUUUGGGUGUCAAGCCCGGGCGCGUAAUGAAAGUGAACGGAGGUGGGAACCCUCUUCGGGGGGUGCACCAUCGACCGAUCCUGAUGUCUUCGGAUGGAUUUGAGUAAGAGCAUAGCUGUUGGGACCCGAAAGAUGGUGAACUAUGCUUGAAUAGGGUGAAGCCAGAGGAAACUCUGGUGGAGGCUCGCAGCGGUUCUGACGUGCAAAUCGAUCGUCAAAUUUGGGCAUAGGGGCGAAAGA